UACGUAGGGUGCGAGCGUUGUCCGGAAUUAUUGGGCGUAAAGGGCUCGUAGGCGGUUUGUCGCGUCGGGAGUGAAAUCCACUGGCUUAACUGGUGGCUUGCUUUCGAUACGGGCAGACUGGAGGUAUGCAGGGGGAGAACGGAAUUCCUGGUGUAGCGGUGAAAUGCGCAGAUAUCAGGAGGAACACCGGUGGCGAAGGCGGUUCUCUGGGCAUGUCCUGACGCUGAGGAGCGAAAGUGUGGGGAGCGAAACAGG
rnacentral:rRNA from 1 species